AACGGUUAUAAUUGUACAUCGU
rnacentral:siRNA from 1 species